rnacentral:snRNA from 1 species
UGAUGCCAAGGUGAUCUCACUGGACAUUCAUCACCCCCAUUGAUCACUAGGGCUGAUUCAGCUAAUCCGGCUAGUAGGAAGGGGUUCCUCCUUCACCACUCCACACUUGUCCCUCUGAAAGCGACAAGCUUGUUUGGAGAGAUUGACCUUCCCUGUAGAAGGAAUUAGCUGAUC